rnacentral:rRNA from 1 species
AUUGAACGCUGGCGGCAGGCCUAACACAUGCAAGUCGAGCGGAUGAAGGGAGCUUGCUCCUGGAUUCAGCGGCGGACGGGUGAGUAAUGCCUAGGAAUCUGCCUGGUCGUGGGGGAUAACGUCCGGAAACGGGCGCUAAUACCGCAUACGUCCUGAGGGAGAAAGUGGGGGAUCUUCGGACCUCACGCUAUCAGAUGAGCCUAGGUCGGAUUAGCUAGUUGGUGGGGUAAAGGCCUACCAAGGCGACGAUCCGUAACUGGUCCGAGAGGAUGAUCAGUCACACUGGAACUGAGACACGGUCCAGACUCCUACGGGAGGCAGCAGUGGGGAAUAUUGGACAAUGGGCGAAAGCCUGAUCCAGCCAUGCCGCGUGUGUGAAGAAGGUCUUCGGAUUGUAAAGCACUUUAAGUUGGGAGGAAGGGCAGUAAGUUAAUACCUUGCUGUUUUGACGUUACCAACAGAAUAAGCACCGGCUAACUUCGUG